GGAGGGGGGGGCUUUUUUAAAAAAAAAAAGAGAUACAAGUUUCCGUAGGGAACCUGCGGAAGGAUCAUU
rnacentral:rRNA from 1 species